rnacentral:rRNA from 1 species
GCGAUUGGAUGAGCCCAUGUCGGAUUAGCUAGUUGGCGGGGUAAAGGCCCACCAAGGCGACGAUCCGUAGCUGGUCUGAGAGGAUGAUCAGCCACACUGGGACUGAGACACGGCCCAGACUCCUACGGGAGGCAGCAGUGGGGAAUAUUGGACAAUGGGCGAAAGCCUGAUCCAGCCAUGCCGCGUGUGUGAAGAAGGUCUUCGGAUUGUAAAGCACUUUAAGUUGGGAGGAAGGGCAGUAAGUUAAUACCUUGCUGUUUUGACGUUACCGCCAGAAUAAGC